GAUGAACGCUAGCUACAGGCUUAACACAUGCAAGUCGUGGGGCAGCGGAUACUUAGCUUGCUAAGUAUGCCGGCGACCGGCGCACGGGUGAGUAACGCGUACCGAACCUGCCCAUCACACAGGGAUAGGCUUGCGAAAGCAAGAUUAAUACCUGAUGGUCUCAGUUGUAUGCAUGUAUAAUUGAGUAAAGCCUUCGGGCGGUGAUGGAUGGCGGUGCGUCCCAUUAGAAAGUUGGCGGGGUAACGGCCCACCAAUCCUUCGAUGGGUAGGGGUUCUGAGAGGAAGGUCCCCCACAUUGGAACUGAGAUACGGUCCAAACUCCUACGGGAGGCAGCAGUGAGGAAUAUUGGUCAAUGGGCGAGAGCCUGAACCAGCCAAGUAGCGUGCGGGAUGAAGGCCCUUGUGGUCGUAAACCGCUUUUAUCAGUGAAUAAAGUGCACCACGUGUGGUGUCAUUGCAGGUAGCUGAAGAAAAAGGACCGGCUAAUUCCGUGCCAGCAGCCGCGGUAAUACGGAAGGUCCGGGCGUUAUCCGGAAUUAUUGGGUUUAAAGGGAGCGCAGGCGGGAGUGUAAGUCAGCUGUUAAAUAUCAGGGCCCAACUCUGUUAUGCAGUUGAAACUAUAUUUCUUGAGUACGCACAGGGAUGGCGGAAUUCAGGGUGUAGCGGUGAAAUGCUUAGAUAUCCUGAAGAACUCCGAUCGCGAAGGCAGCCAUCCGGAGCGUAACUGACGCUGAGGCUCGAAGGUGCGGGUAUCGAACAGG
rnacentral:rRNA from 1 species